rnacentral:misc_RNA from 1 species
UCGAAUGACAAACCUUUGGCUGGAUGCUGUUGUGCUGGUCUGUCCUACAUCUGGCUGGCAAUGUGCACGCAGCUUUCUGGUCAUUUUGUUUAUUCUGUUCCACCUGUGCACUGCCUGUAGACACCUGUGUCUAUGACAUUUUUAAUAUACACACACAUUACACGUGGAUAUGAAGUUGGUUGACAUCUUUUGUUAUAACAAAUA